GGUAGGACUACCCGCUGAACUUAAGCAUAUCAAUAAGCGGAGGAAAAGAAACUAACAAGGAUUCCCCUAGUAACUGCGAGUGAAGCGGGAAAAGCUCAAAUUUAAAAUC
rnacentral:rRNA from 1 species